rnacentral:rRNA from 1 species
AUGCACGCUAGCGGGAGGCCUAACCCAUGCAAGCCGAGCGGUAGAGUCUCUUCGGAGCCUUGAGAGCGGCGCACGGGUGCGGAACACGUGUGCAACCUGCCUUUAUCUGGGGGAUAGCCUUUCGAAGGGAAGAUUAAUACCCCAUAAUAUACUGGAUGGCAUCAUCUGGUAUUGAAAACUCCGGUGGAUAGAGAUGGGCACGCGCAAGAUUAGAUAGUUGGUGAGGUAACGGCUCACCAAGUCAGCGAUCUUUAGGGGGCCUGAGAGGGUGAUCCCCCACACUGGUACUGAGACACGGACCAGACUCCUACGGGAGGCAGCAGUGAGGAAUAUUGGACAAUGGGUGAGAGCCUGAUCCAGCCAUCCCGCGUGAAGGACGACGGCCCUAUGGGUUGUAAACUUCUUUUGUAUAGGGAUAAACCUAGAUACGUGUAUCUAGCUGAAGGUACUAUACGAAUAAGCACCGGCUAACUCCGUG